CGGGGGGCCCGGGGCGAGGUGCGGAGUUUUCGCCCCCCCCCCCCCCCCCCGCCGAGUCAAUAAUUCCAGGAGACUCGGACACAUCUUUGCCCCAGCUUCCUUUUCCCCGUCCCCGCGCCUUCCCAACACCGAAUCCUAACCUCUCUGUAGACCAAAAUCUUUAAUUUUACUAUCCUUUAAAAAAAAGUCAAAGGCCAACUUCUAAAAGGAGCCGGGAGCGUUGGAGACGCCGAGGGGGUCGGCGGGCGGGACGCGCCGCAGUGUCUGUCUCUGGCUGUCAGAAAUGCAGUAAGCCGAAAUUUAAAUGCCCUUUUCCAGACAGGAAAAAGUCAGCGGCUGCGGAGCUCUCUUCGCUCAAACAUGCAAUGUGUAAUUCUUACUCCAAGGAGUUCAGGAUGUAAAGGGUUUUCUGUCAACCGCGAAGCAUACCCUUCUCCCCGACAAAAGGCAAAAAAGCAAUUAAUGCAAUAAAGCAUGAAUGUCCACCCGGCCGGGGUCAGCGUCCAUCUAAGGCGAGCAAAAACCUCUAAAGGCUACUUUCAGAAAACGCACCCCCGGUUUCCCUCUGCCUUCCUCUCUCUUCCCAUCUUGACAAGUCACUGUACCCCGACCCAGUUCUGGUUCCUCUCCACCCCACCCCGACCAGCCACAACUACUCUGAGAAAAGUGUCAAUAGCGCAGGAAUGGGAGAAAAGACACUCGAUUCGGGCGUUCUGCUCAUCGCGGCGUUAAGGCGGUAGCAAAAAUAAAUGAAAAAGGCCAAUAGGUCCGGGUGCUCACCCGUAUUUCCACUAUCCGAAGGAAAUCUAGCGUCCAAAAAGCGGCGAGGAGCGCCUUUCAGAGGCGCGGGUCGUGGGCUGCGGCGAGGGAAAGUGUCUCCCCAAAAAGGCAGAAGAGCUUCUCUGCGUCCGGGGAGUCUUGGUGUCGCUCGGGUGUUCGCUGUGUUGGACAAACCGCAUACUUGUCCUGUGUUCUUAAAUCAUCUGGGGGCAGAACCGCUCAUCCCUCGAUGCUGAGAAUACACCGUGUACCCACGGCUGCGCCAUGCACGUCCCGGGUGGACAGGCCGGGAAGGGGCAGCCUUUGGAAAAUAACUCCUACGAAGAGAGGAGGAAAGAAGGGGUAUUGAUGGGCGUGCGCUCUGAGUGUGUGUGUGCUGGGGGGUUAAGUGUCGAUGGGAUACAUGAUCAAAGGUAUGGGGAAGAAAAAUGGUGCCUGGAAUUACUAAAAUAAUUCAGCAACGCGCUGCCACGUAUACUUGGAGAGCGCGGUAUGAAUAAACACCCAUUGCAUUUGUUGGGGGUGUUAUGCAUUCUGGGUGUGCGCAGCUUUCUCGACUGCGCACCUUCCACCCACAAUGAAUCCCCCGAUUGCUGCCAAAGUCGCAGAGGACCCCCACUCCUGGCUCUGCCCGCGCAGACCUACACGGAUCUCCGUGGGGGCCAGCGUUCCUCCUGCCCCUCCCCCCACCCAGUACGCGCUAAUCCCUGAGAUCUUUCUGCGGGCUCCAGAGCUGGAAUAAGGGAGGAGCGCGCCUGCGGGUGCGCGCCGCGGGGGACCACCCCCGUCCCUCUAAACCCCCACCCCACCCCCGCGCCUCUCUCUCGGAGUUCCCAAUUCCGCAGCCAGGUUUCAGAAGAGAGACGAAUCCUCUUUGCGCCCCGUGGCGCCGGUUUGCACCACUCUGGGGCUCCCAGGUUUGGGGAAAAAUAGAAGGCGCUAGACGGGAGGAUACAGCCCGGGGGAGGGGGGCGAGAGCCUCAGGACCAGACUCCCCAGAAGAGGGAAGGGGGCGAGCCGGAGGAUCCUGCCUGGGGAGUCUGCAGAGUCCCCGGUGAGGAAAACCGUUAACUCUUUCCUGCUAGGACAAACCGAACGUUGACUUCCUUUCUGGGUCUGCUUUUCUCUUUAUCAUUGGGCUCGAAAUCACACACACACACACACACACACACACACAAUGCAUCGAUUCUCAUCUAAGGAGAGGAGCCAAGUAUUACUUCCGUUUCUUGGGGGGUGUGCUGGCAGUGUCUUGAGCCAAUUAAAAAUUGGCCGAAUUUCAGGCAUUGAUUUCCUAGUUCACUGACUCUUAAAUUUUUUCUGAAUACCAUAGUGAAGUGUGUAUGUAUAAUAGAAUCCACGUACAUCUGUAUACUUUUCAUGUUCACGUCAGCCUAGAAUUUUGCCCAACACGACACAUGAUUUGUUCACUCCCUCAAUGAAUCUAUAUUUAAUAUAUAAUGCAUAUCCCCUCGGGAUUUACUAGUUUGCAUUAUACAGAGGCGAUCUAUCCCAGCCCCAGUCCCUCAUCCAAGGGCGUUAUAACUUUUCCACGCCCCUUCCCCCUCCUUCCAAAAGUGAAAAAAAUUUGGAACGGGGAGGGCUCGCCUAUGUCAUGCCUGUGUUUGAGAUAAAUUAUUACCCGUUGAGUUUGCUGCUCGGCAUUCGAUUGUUAAAAGAGUAGUAACUUCCUCCAAAUCAGGCACAAGGCACAAGUCGGUUUUAAUGACUGCAAAUUGCUCCAGCCUCCAGGUCUUUGCCGCAAACGCAAGUGACCAAUCCCUAGCCAGAGUUUUGCCGCAAAGCGUCUUUCCCUGCCCCCUCCCAGAGCUGCACCCGCGCCCCAGGUUUCGAAAGUUAAAGGAAGG
rnacentral:lncRNA from 1 species